rnacentral:rRNA from 1 species
GAUGAACGCUGGCGGCGUGCCUAAUACAUGCAAGUCGAGCGAACGGACGAGAAGCUUGCUUCUCUGAUGUUAGCGGCGGACGGGUGAGUAACACGUGGAUAACCUACCUAUAAGACUGGGAUAACUUCGGGAAACCGGAGCUAAUACCGGAUGAUGUUUUGAACCGCAUGGUUCAAAAGUGAAAGACGGUCUUGCUGUCACUUAUAGAUGGAUCCGCGCUGCAUUAGCUAGUUGGUAAGGUAACGGCUUACCAAGGCAACGAUGCAUAGCCGACCUGAGAGGGUGAUCGGCAACACUGGAACUGAGACACGGUCCAGACUCCUACGGGAGGCAGCAGUAGGGAAUCUUCCGCAAUGGGCGAAAGCCUGACGGAGCAACGCCGCGUGAGUGAUGAAGGUCUUCGGAUCGUAAAACUCUGUUAUUAGGGAAGAACAUAUGUGUAAGUAACUGUGCACAUCUUGACGGUACCUAAUCAGAAAGCCACGGCUAACUACGUG